rnacentral:snoRNA from 1 species
AUGAAGGCAGGUGUGUGGCGACGAUGAGCGCAGGUGACACGGCUGA